AGUCGAGCGGUAGAGAGAAGCUUGCUUCUCUUGAGAGCGGCGGGCGGGUGAGUAAUGCCUAGGAAUCUGCCUGGUAGUGGGGGAUAACGUUCGGAAACGGACGCUAAUACCGCAUACGUCCUACGGGAGAAAGCAGGGGACCUUCGGGCCUUGCGCUAUCAGAUGAGCCUAGGUCGGAUUAGCUAGUUGGUGAGGUAAUGGCUCACCAAGGCGACGAUCCGUAACUGGUCUGAGAGGAUGAUCAGUCACACUGGAACUGAGACACGGUCCAGACUCCUACGGGAGGCAGCAGUGGGGAAUAUUGGACAAUGGGCGAAAGCCUGAUCCAGCCAUGCCGCGUGUGUGAAGAAGGUCUUCGGAUUGUAAAGCACUUUAAGUUGGGAGGAAGGGCAGUUGCCUAAUACGUAACUGUUUUGACGUUACCGACAGAAUAAGCACCGGCUAACUCUGUGCCAGCAGCCGCGGUAAUACAGAGGGUGCAAGCGUUAAUCGGAAUUACUGGGCGUAAAGCGCGCGUAGGUGGUUUGUUAAGUUGGAUGUGAAAUCCCCGGGCUCAACCUGGGAACUGCAUUCAAAACUGACUGACUAGAGUAUGGUAGAGGGUGGUGGAAUUUCCUGUGUAGCGGUGAAAUGCGUAGAUAUAGGAAGGAACACCAGUGGCGAAGGCGACCACCUGGACUAAUACUGACACUGAGGUGCGAAAGCGUGGGGAGCAAACAGGAUUAGAUACCCUGGUAGUCCACGCCGUAAACGAUGUCAACUAGCCGUUGGAAGCCUUGAGCUUUUAGUGGCGCAGCUAACG
rnacentral:rRNA from 1 species